GACGAACGCUGGCGGCGUGCUUAACACAUGCAAGUCGAACGGAAAGGCCUGCUUUCCCUUGUGGAUUGCGGGUGCUCGAGUGGCGAACGGGUGAGUAACACGUGAGCGAUCUGCCCCCAACUUGGGUAUAAGCCUGGGAAACUGGGUCUAAUUCCCGAUAGUACUGCAGGGUGGUGCCUGUGGUGGAAAACGAUUUUAUUGUGGUUGGGGAUGAGCUCGCGGCCUAUCAGCUUGUUGGUGGGGUAAUGGCCUACCAAGGCGGCGACGGGUAGCCGGCCUGAGAGGGUGGACGGCCACAUUGGGACUGGGAUACGGCCCAGACUCCUACGGGAGGCAGCAGUGGGGAAUAAUGCACAAUGGGCGGAAGCCUGAUGCAGCGACGCCGCGUGGGGGAUGACGGCCUUCGGGUUGUAAACUCCUUUCGACCGCGAGGAAGCCACCUGGUUGGAAGGGUGGUGACGGUAGUGGUAGAAGAAGCACCGGCUAACUACGUG
rnacentral:rRNA from 1 species